rnacentral:rRNA from 1 species
CCUACGGGAGGCUGCAGUGAGGAAUAUUGGUCAAUGGGCGUAAGCCUGAACCAGCCAAGUAGCGUGAAGGAUGACUGCCCUACGGGUUGUAAACUUCGUUUAUAAAGGAGUAAAGUGAGGCAAGUGUGCCUUUUUGUAUGUACUUUAUGAAUAAGGAUCGGAUAACUCCGUGCCAGCAGCCGCGGUAAUACGGAGGAUCCGAGCGUUAUCCGGAUUUAUUGGGUUUAAAGGGAGGGGAGAGGGGUUGUUAAGUCAGUUGUGAAAGUUUGCGGGUCAACCGUAAAAUUGCAAUUGAUACUGGCAGCCUUGAGUACAGUUGAGGUAGGCGGAAUUCGUGGUGUAGCGGUGAAAUGCUUAGAUAUCACGAAGAACACCGAUUGCGAAGGCAGCUUACUAAACUGACACUGACAUUGAUGCUCGAAAGUGUGGGUAUCAAACAGGAUUAGAUACCCUGGUAGUC